rnacentral:rRNA from 1 species
GACGAACGCUGGCGGCGUGCCUAAUACAUGCAAGUCGAGCGGACUGAAUGGGAGCUUGCUCUUGUUCGGUCAGCGGCGGACGGGUGAGUAACACGUGGGCAACCUGCCCGCAAGACCGGGAUAACUCCGGGAAACCGGAGCUAAUACCGGAUAACACCGAAGACCGCAUGGUCUUUGGUUGAAAGGCGGCGCAAGCUGCCACUUGCGGAUGGGCCCGCGGCGCAUUAGCUAGUUGGUGAGGUAACGGCUCACCAAGGCGACGAUGCGUAGCCGGCCUGAGAGGGUGACCGGCCACACUGGGACUGAGACACGGCCCAGUCUCCUACGGGAGGCAGCAGUAGGGAAUCUUCCGCAAUGGGCGAAAGCCUGACGGAGCGACGCCGCGUGAGCGAAGAAGGCCUUCGGGUCGUAAAGCUCUGUUGUGAGGGACGAAGGAGCGCCGUUUGAAGAAGGCGGCGCGGUGACGGUACCUCACGAGGAAGCCCCGGCUAACUACGUG